GAGGGGAACAACAGCUGGAAACGGCUGCUAAUACCCCAUAGGCUGAUGAGCAAAAGGAGGAAUCCGCCCAAGGAGGGGCUCGCGUCUGAUUAGUUAGUUGGUGAGGCAAUGGCUUACCAAGGCGACGAUCGGUAGCUGGUCCGAGAGGAUGAUCAGCCCACUGGGACUGAGACACGGUCCAGACUCCUACGGGAGGCAGCAGUGGGGAAUUUUCCGCAAUGGGCGAAAGCCUGACGGAC
rnacentral:rRNA from 1 species